AUCCGUAGUUCCGUAUUUCUGGACAAAAAGUGCAAUAAAGUUUACAUUUCUCAAACGAUUUCAACGGUUUAUGAUCUGCGUGGGGUCAUACCCUACCAUAACCCAAAAAGGUUUUGUCUCCAAUUACUCAGAAUCUCAGAAUAAGGAAUUGUGAAAACUCAUGCUUCUCAAGCAUAGAUUUGGUUUAACUUCCAGGUUGGCCUACAAAAACACGUCAUCCCUGAGGUACUCUAUAGAGUGGUGCAGGUAUGACAUCACUUUGUAGGCCAAAAUGCAGAAGUGAGUUAGCAUUUUAGCACUUCUGGUUCCAUCGCUCCGAAGUCAAUGGGUUUUUUGAAUGGGAUUUUGGUUAAAUGGCUGAAAUAAGGUCUGUAGUGAACACAAGCUCAAGACAGUUUCACGUUUUAUUCUAUGACAUAAAAUGCAUCAGUAUUACCCCACUUGUGAUUUUUUUUUUUUAAGCUGUUAUGUGUCUUGAAAAAGGCGGUUGCUAACAAGUGGGUAAAUGGGACUACACAGGCAGUCGGGGACAUUAAUUGUCAUCACUCUGAGAAGAGUCCAAACUGCCUACUUGGAAGUGAACACUGAUGACGCAAUAAAAUGUCUCCAUUUACAACAAAGGUACUUUGGGGCUGACGGUCAAUGUGAAGGACACAAUCUGGCAAAUAUUGAGGCAAACAAUGAAAAUGAUCUAACAAAAACCUGCAGAGGCUAUGAGGAAAAACUCUACACACAGACGCUCUACACACACAGACAGCUCAAUGCUGCUAACUGGCAGAGCAGCUGGAAAACUAAAGACAAGAAAAGUAGAACAUUAAUACAGACGACUGUAUUAUUUUUCUGCAAGAACCAGGACAAGCAAAGACGUUGAGAAAACAGCAGUCAGACGCAUGAUUACACACUGGACUUUACUGAGUUCUUCAACAUGUGAUGUUGGGCAUUUACUGUAUGUAGAGCUACUAAUAAUUUAUGUGGAUGCCAUUUAUAGACCUGUUAGAUUUUAAUGUUUUAUUUUUGAGAUUAAUAAAAUUGCAUGUUUUAAAAAUAUUAUAGCUUUUUCUUUUUUUCUUUCUUUUUUUUGAAUAUUUAGGAGAACAUUAGGGGAUAAUGAUUAAUAAAGUGCAAAAUAUGUCAGUGAAAAGCUUUCACUUUCACUUAUAUUUAAUAAUCAGUCUUUUUUUAUUGUUGCCCUUGUUUUAUACAACCUAACAAGUUUUAUUAUCAAACUUUAUGUAGUGUAUUUACAUUUUAUAAUCUUACUUUUAUAUUCCUCUUAUAAAGUAUCGUGAAUGUACUUUUCGAGAUGUAAGAGGAUAUGUUUUUCUGCACAAAACCUCUUAUGCUAUCAACAUAUCGGCACACAAAACAGUGUAUGGACUACAGUCAAGUGCCGUCACGACUACGAAAACCUACUAAGUCGAACGUAUAGGCUACCAGACAGAAAAACACAAGU